rnacentral:sRNA from 1 species
GCCGGGCGUGGUGACACAAGCCCGUAAUCCCAGCAGCCCGAGAGGCUGAGGCAGGAGGAUCACAAGUUCAGAGCUAGCCUCAGCAAAAGCGAGGUACUAAGCAACUCAGUGAGACCCUGUCUCUA